rnacentral:lncRNA from 1 species
GAUGACUUCAUUUCCUAUGCCUGUUGAUUUGACUCUAAAAUCUGGAUCACUUUAAUAAUUAGCAACAAAAAAAAAUGUGAUUCUACUUCCUCAGACCACAGGCUUGCUACUAAGUGCUGGGUAAGCGAUGCUCUAGAGAGCAGACCCUAGAGAGGGUGGUAGAGAGUGUGGAGCUGGGUUACUGUGGUCUGCUUUGUGAUUAUGUUUCAGUUGGGUUCUUAAUAAGGUAGCUGGCAGUCAUUCAUUGUCAUAAUACUUUCCACUACAUCUUCUGCUCUAAGAUAUUCUUCCCAGAACAAGACCAAGUAUUCCAGAGUAUGCAUCUCUGGACACUAGGUGGGAAACCCCCUGGGUCUUCUCUCUUCUUCCAAGGGGUAAGCUACUGUGUAAUGAAGAGACUAUCUUAACUCUAUUGCCAUCCUGCCACAGAUCCAGCCUUCCAGUAACAGCAUCCCACAGAGAUUGGGGAGAGAUGAAAUUCUCUAAACAUAAACAUGGAUACACGGAACUCUAUAGUUUUACCUCAGUCUUUGAAAGGUGACACUUAAAGAAUUCUUCUACCAAAGCAGUAGGGGAGGGAGAGAAAGAGAAAGGCCCAGAGAAGGUCAGGUCUGAGAUCGUCAACUAGUCAGCAUCUGAGAGACACAGUAAGCCCACAGUCUAAACGCCCCAGAAGUUCCCACAUGCCUGGUGUGCUUUACCCUCUCAGAAAGGAUAGAGGUGCUAUUACUUCAGUUCCUGCCUCCAGGUUCCUGCCCUACUGGGGUUCCCGCCUUUGCUUCCUUCAUUGGUAAACUAUAAUGAGGAAGCAUAAGCCAAAUAAAUCCUUUUCCUCUUCACGUGACCUUUGAUCAUGAUGUCUAUCAUAGUAAUAGAAACCGGAGCUGAGACAGACAGUUACCACAGACUCACAGUUCAGCAAAUAUUCACGGAGCACCUGCUCUGUGUUUGGUGCUAUGCUAUGCUUUGACAGUUGCCAGGAUGAACAUGGCAUGCCGUUUCAUUACAGGGUGGUUCCAGCCAGGGACGUCAGCUUUUGUCACUGUCCCAUAGCUUUCUCCUGUUCACCUUUCACCCUCCUGUACCUCGAGUCACCAACUAGACUGGCCGUCAUUCCUGACUCUUCAUUUCUCUUGGUUGCUAUUACUCUAUUUUCUUAACAUAUGAGCUAUUUUUCCUAUUUAAAUUUUAACUUUUGGAUAUCUGAGAUAGAUCCUUAUAAAGCGUGUGUUAAAUGGAUGGCUGUCUUCUUAUUUUCUGAUGUAACCGGGUUGCACCUUAGAACGGUAAGGAGUUGAGAAAUUUCAAGGGCCUAACGGUAAGGAGUUGAGAAAUUUCAAGGGCCUAUAAAUCUCACCUGCCAUGUUAACUAUUUUGUGUCACUACAUAAUGUAUCAGCUUGGAGGACAUUUGUUUUAGGAGAUAAACAAGCAUAAUAAGGAGUGUCUUCCUUGUGACGUAUCUCUGUGGGCUUCACCUUGGAGCCCUGAACUUUGACUGAGAGUUCACCUGCAUCUGGACUACAUGGACAAGCAUGGGUCUCAGUCAUAUUUGCAAAUAUCUAAGUCGGGAGGAUACAACUGGAGCCGCAAGAGGGUGCAGGGAGCCUUCUCAGCAGAAACUGAACUGGACACAGGCAGAUGUUCCUUUGAACUGAAUAUGGUACUGAGCGCUGCUAAACUGUCAGUUCAAGGACUGCCUCUAUCAUCUCCAAGGAAAGCUGGUUCUGUCCCUUCUUGUCAUAAUUCUCCACAAUCUGCCCAGAGUUUGGAUUCUGCCUCUCCCACUGCCCCCCACAGCCCUGUCGUGCCUGCAGUGGUCAGAAAGACCAUGCCUUUCUGGCCAUGUGGAGCCCACACUCUACGGACCAUUGUUUCAUGGGGCCACACUGUCAUCCCCAAAGACGUCCUAUUAGGACACUUUGUCAACAGCUGUGGGAGGCUUCCCAUCCUAUGAAAGGAGGGAUGGGAACAGUCUUUGCACACAUCGGUGUAUAGGUCAUUCCAACAGUCCAACAAUACCUGAUUAUUCAAGAGACUCCAAUUCAUUUCCCUCCGCUCCUCCUCCACGGUUACUCUUGAUAGAAACCUAAUUUGCAGAAAAAUAGCCCCUGCCAGCUAACUUCUUCUCCGGAAAGCAUGCUGCUGACCCUGGAACUCUUGUCUCAGCGAGUCCUCAUUCUCCUUGUCAAUGCCUCAGUCUUGAAAAGCAGUCUUCUCCGUUAAAAGCCUCCCUUGGCCCCCUUGGCACCUUGUUUGGAAGAUGGUUUCUUUCCCUCCUAUUCUUUGCUUCUCUUUUUAACAUGUGUGCCAAAAUUGGCACUUUCCUUUCUCAGCUCGCUCCCUUUCGGGUAUUAAUGCAGGCAGCAAUGGAGAAAUGUGAGCGAUUUUUCCAGCUUCUGCACUCAGCCAGCCCAUGGCUGAUGGAUUGAAUGUAACAUGCUCUCCCUUACAUAUCACUAUUUAAGUGAAGCGCUUGGGCCGCCUGGUGAUGUAUGGUGUUAUCCAAAGCGCCUGACACAAGCAGGGAGCCAAGGCAGGCUCCACCGUCCUCUGCAAAAAUAACGGUGCUAAUGGCAUUUGGUGCAAAUGAGACUCCUGGAGAACACACUGGGCUUGUUUAUCUCCUUAUUAUUUCUCUUUGUCAAGCAGCCUUUCUCUUUCCUCUCUGGGGCUUCACAAGUGUGGCCUGCCAGGGUUAUUGGGGGAGGGGGAGAAGGUCUCAAAGAGCUCAAGAUUUUGUAACUAAUAUUGAACGCCAGGGAGAAUGGAAGCCAAGGUCAGGUUAAGAAUAAAGAAAAUUGAUUUGGAGG